GCCAGCAGCCAUAUCAUCCUGCAACUCACAGCUAGCAACAUGCUGAAGCUCAGCAGGUGUGAGCCUGGUCAGUGCCUGGAUGGGAGUCUCCUGGGAGAGCUAAGGUUGCUGCUGGAA
rnacentral:rRNA from 1 species